UCGAGAAUCUUUCACAAUGGGGGCAACCCUGAUGGAGCGACGCCGCGUGGAGGAUAAGGUCUUCGGAUUGUAAACUCCUGUCAUGUGGGAGCAAGGCCUCACGGUUAACACCUGUGAUGUUUGAUAGUACCACAAGAGGAAGAGACGGCUAACUCUGUGCCAGCAGCCGCGGUAAUACAGAGGUCUCAAGCGUUGUUCGGAAUCACUGGGCGUAAAGGGUGUGCAGGCGGUGUGCUAAGUCAGAUGUGAAAGCCCGGGGCUCAACCUCGGAACUGCAUCCGAUACUGGCAUGCUAGAGAAUUGGAGAGGAGUCUAGAAUUCACGGUGUAGCAGUGAAAUGCGUAGAUAUCGUGAGGAAUACCAAGUGCGAAGGCAGGACUCUGGACAUUUUCUGACGCUGAGACACGAAGGCCAGGGGAGCAAACGGGAUUAGAUACCCCCGUAGUCC
rnacentral:rRNA from 1 species